ACGAACCGUGCGAACGUUGUUCGGAAUCACUGGGCUUAAAGGGCGCGUAGGUGGUUUGCCAAGUCGGGGUUGAAAUCUUUCGGCUUAACCGGAAAAGUGGCUUCGAUACUGGCAAGCUGGAGGGAGGUAGGGGCGGAUGGAACUUCCGGUGGAGCGGUGAAAUGUGUUGAUAUCGGAAGGAACGCCGGUGGCGAAAGCGAUCCGCUGGACCUCUUCUGACACUGAGGCGCGAAAGCCAGGGGAGCAAACGGGA
rnacentral:rRNA from 1 species